AAGAUCCCUCCUAUCUCUUCUAUUUGUUAAAUGCCUGCAAAUUGCUCUGCUCAUCUCAUGGAUUUUAUUACAGGCCAAAGAAACCAAAGCACGGGACUGCAUUUCGAUGUCACAUUUAUCACAAUGCCUUUGCAAUCGGCGACAAGGUAAAAGGACUGGAAGAAAACCAGUCUGAGAUGCUAAAUCCUGUUGAUGCUGUGCUAUUGUGCUUUGGGAAUGCACAUAUCCAUCCAGGGACAAAUUGCUUAAUAUCCAAACAGCACUUUGAAGAUCUAAAGUAAGGAAGGAGCACUGCAGCUAGGUUGCAAGGGUAAACGUGGUGCUAAGACUGCUAUGACUGUGUGACCAGGCCUGAGUUACUGUGCAUGGACAGGACAGCAAUUCUGAGAACAGAAAAGCAAAAGGUGGAUGAUGAAGGCACCUGAAGAAGGCUCUGGCUGCUGCUAAGACUGUUCUGGUUGAUCAAGAGGCCUGUGGUGGUUCCUGGAGCAUGGGGAGGUGAGUGUACUCCAAUGUCACACCCUGGUGUCACCAUUCAUGUGGCCAUAGUGAGCUUUUGCAAACUUUGUUGCCUCAAAAUAACCUAAACAUGGCUGAGUAUGCUGAAGAGACUAAACUUAGCAUUUACCUGUGCUGGUAGUAUCUUAUUUUGUAACUCUUAGAGGAAAUCAUUCCUCUAAGUAAUGAGGAAUAAGUAAGAGUAGAAUUGCAGCAGUUAAA